UACGGGGGGAGCAAGCGUUGUUCGGAUUUACUGGGCGUAAAGGGCGCGUAGGCGGCCACCGCAAGUCGACUGUGAAAUCUCCGGGCUUAACCCGGAAAGGUCAGCCGAUACUGCGGGGCUAGAGUGCAGAAGGGGCAACUGGAAUUCUCGGUGUAGCGGUGAAAUGCGUAGAUAUCGAGAGGAACACCUGCGGCGAAGGCGGGUUGCUGGGCUGACACUGACGCUGAUGCGCGAAAGCUAGAGGAGCGAACGGG
rnacentral:rRNA from 1 species